AACGCUGGCGGCGUGCCUAAUACAUGCAAGUCGAGUCGGACCAAAGGGAGCUUGCUCCUGGAGGUUAGCGGACGAACGGGUGAGUAACACGUGGGCAACCUGCCUGUAAGACUGGGAUAACAUCGAGAAAUCGGUGCUAAUACCGGGAUAACUAAAAAGAACUGCAUCGGUUCUUUUUUGAAAGAUGGUUUCGGCUAUCACUUACAGAUGGGCCCGCGGCGCAUUAGCUAGUUGGUGAGGUAACGGCUCACCAAGGCGACGAUGCGUAGCCGACCUGAGAGGGUGAUCGGCCACACUGGGACUGAGACACGGCCCAGACUCCUACGGGAGGCACGCAGUAGGGAAUCUUCCGCAAUGGACGAAAGUCUGACGGAGCCAACGCCGCGUGAGUGAUGAAGGUUUUCGGAUCGUAAAACUCUGUUGUUAGGGAAGAACAAGUGCCGUUCGAAAGGGCGGCACCUUGACGGUACCUAACGAGAAAGCCACGGCUAACUACGUG
rnacentral:rRNA from 1 species